CGUUCGACCCUGGCCGCAUCUUGAACGCCCGAUAUGUACAUGUUUCGUACUUCCCACGUCACUUCGGGCCCCACUGGUUUCCCCAAACCGAAUCAGCGAAUAUGGCAGAGUGCGCCAUGACCGGAGGGGGGUUCUUGGAGGCGGCGCGGCCGACACGCUGCGGCCGCGGCCUCCCGCUAGCGGCUGAAUCAGCGGCUUGUCGGCCCGUUGGGGAAGCAGCGGCAGCAGGUGGUGAAGCGGCGGGAGCGGUGGCUGGUGGCGUUGGGGAUCGCCCUCGACGCCGUCUACAUGCUCAGCAUCUUCGACAUCUACUUCAAGAACCGCGUCGUCCACGGCAUGGAGCCCGUCCCCCAGCCCACCUCUCCCCCCGCCAAGCGCCUCGUCCUCUUCGUCGCCGGCGGCCUGCGAACGGACAAAUUCUUAGAGCAAGAAUCCGAGGGGCAUUUCAGAGCGCCGUUCUUGAGGAGCGUGACGCAGUCGAGCCCCGGUCAUAUUUCCAUCAUGGCAGGUGUCUAUGAGGAUCCUAGUGCAGUAACAAAAGUGUGGCCUUCUUUGGAUAGCCCGUGAUGAUUUACUUUCCGUUUCUUGAAAUAUUUUUGAGUAUGUUGUCACUCUCAAAGUUUCGCCGCCCCGAUCCUUUCUUUCUUUCUUUUGUCUUUUUCUUUUUUUUUAGUUCUUGAAAGCAAAUUAUUGACCCGUCUUUGUCUUUCUUUAAAUCAUGAGAUGUUUUCAUGAGCUACGUGCUUUCACAUCAAUGAAUGUAUAAUGAUCUCCUGUAUAUGUUUUAAUUUGUGGUAGUUUGCUAAGAACUCUAGUCCACCUCAGAUGAUAAACAUAUUUCAUGUCGCUUGCAGGGUGAAAAGCUAAUCCUGUUAAAUUUGAUUCAAUUUUCCACCGAAGUCGACACACAAUUGCUUUUGGAA